rnacentral:rRNA from 1 species
GACGAACGCUGGCGGCGUGCUUAACACAUGCAAGUCGAACGAAGAGGCGAACGGGUGAGUAAUACGUAGGUCACCUGCCCUCCUGUUUGGGAUAAGCCACGGAAACGGGGUCUAAUUCCGAAUAAAGGGGGGUGGGCUCGCGGCCUAUCAGCUGGUUGGUGGGGUGAUGGCCUACCAAGGCGGUGCCGGGUAGCCGGCCUGAGCGGGGGACCGGCCACGUUGGCACUGAGAUACGGCCCAGACUACUACGCAAUGCAGCAGUGGGGGAAAUUGCGCAAAGGGCGAAAGACUGAUGCAGCGACGCCGGGUGGGGGGUGAAGGGUGUCGGGUUGUAAACCUCGUUCGCUAUCGAACCGGUAGGUGGAGAAGAAGCACCGGCUAACUACGUGCCAGCAGCCGCGGUAAUUC